AGCUCGAUGAGUAGGGCGGGACACGUGGUAUCCUGUCUGAAUAUGGGGGGACCAUCCUCCAAGGCUAAAUACUCCUGACUGACCGAUAGUGAACCAGUACCGUGAGGGAAAGGCGAAAAGAACCCCGGCGAGGGGAGUGAAAAAGAACCUGAAACCGUGUACGUACAAGCAGUGGGAGCACGCUUCGGCGUGUGACUGCGUACCUUUUGUAUAAUGGGUCAGCGACUUAUAUUCUGUAGCAAGGUUAACCGAAUAGGGGAGCCGAAGGGAAACCGAGUCUUAACUGGGCGUUAAGUUGCAGGGUAUAGACCCGAAACCCGGUGAUCUAGCCAUGGGCAGGUUGAAGGUUGGGUAACACUAACUGGAGGACCGAACCGACUAAUGUUGAAAAAUUAGCGGAUGACUUGUGGCUGGGGGUGAAAGGCCAAUCAAACCGGGAGAUAGCUGGUUCUCCCCGAAAGCUAUUUAGGUAGCGCCUCGUGAAUUCAUCUCCGGGGGUAGAGCACUGUUUCGGCAAGGGGGUCAUCCCGACUUACCAACCCGAUGCAAACUGCGAAUACCGGAGAAUGUUAUCACGGGAGACACACGGCGGGUGCUAACGUCCGUCGUGAAGAGGGAAACAACCCAGACCGCCAGCUAAGGUCCCAAAGUCAUGGUUAAGUGGGAAACGAUGUGGGAAGGCCCAGACAGCCAGGAUGUUGGCUUAGAAGCAGCCAUCAUUUAAAGAAAGCGUAAUAGCUCACUGGUCGAGUCGGCCUGCGCGGAAGAUGUAACGGGGCUAAACCAUGCAC
rnacentral:rRNA from 1 species